CUUGUACUCCCUCCAUCCGGAAAUACUUGUCAUUGAAAUGGAUGUAUCUAGAUGUAUUUUAGUUCUAGACACAUCCAUUUUGAUGAUAAGUAAUUCCGGACGGAGGGAGUACUUG
rnacentral:pre_miRNA from 1 species